rnacentral:rRNA from 2 species
UGGGGAAUAUUGCACAAUGGAGGAAACUCUGAUGCAGCGACGCCGCGUGAGUGAUGAAGGUUUUCGGAUCGUAAAACUCUGUCCUUGGGGAAGAUAAUGACGGUACCCAAGGAGGAAGCCCCGGCUAACUACGUGCCAGCAGCCGCGGUAAUACGUAGGGGGCGAGCGUUAUCCGGAUUUAUUGGGCGUAAAGGGUACGUAGGCGGCUUGAUAAGUCAGAUGUGAAAGGCAACGGCUCAACCGUUGUAAGCAUUUGAAACUGUCAAGCUUGAGUACUGGAGAGGAAAGUGGAAUUCCUAGUGUAGCGGUGAAAUGCGUAGAUAUUAGGAGGAACACCAGUGGCGAAGGCGACUUUCUGGACCAUAACUGACGCUGAGGCACGAAAGCGUGGGGAGCAAACAGG